rnacentral:misc_RNA from 1 species
UGACAUUCUUGAUCCAUCUUUCUUUGCAAUUGCUCUGUGCUCAACACUCAUGUACUUGUCAUUUGACAUGAGCUGCAGAAAAUCUCCAAUAUUGACGACAAGAGCACCACGUAUAGGAGGAACAUCAAACCAUUGAUUUUGGUGAAGAACUUGGAGUCCACCGAUAUCAUCUUGUAGAAGCACCGUGAUAAACUCAGUGUCGGAAUGUUGACUGAUGCCCAUGGUGAGUUCUGGCUGAG